CCUUACCUGGACUUGACAUGCACGGGGAUCCAGCAGAAAUGUUGGAGUCCGCAAGGACUCGUGCACAGGUGCUGCAUGGCUGUCGUCAGCUCGUGUCGUGAGAUGUUGGGUUAAGUCCCGCAACGAGCGCAACCCUUAUCCUUAGUUGCCAUCAGGUAAUGCUGGGAACUCUAAGGAAACUGCCGGCGAUAAGCCGGAGGAAGGUGGGGAUGACGUCAAGUCCUCAUGGCCUUUAUGUCCAGGGCUACACACGUGCUACAAUGGCCUCUACAGAGGGUUGCAAUACCGCGAGGUGGAGCCAAUCCCUAAAAGAGGUCUCAGUUGGGAUCGGAGUCUGCAACUCGACUCCGUGAACGUGGAAUCGCUAGUAAUCGCGGAUCAGCUACGCCGCGGUGAAUACGUUCCCGGGCCUUGUACACACCGCCCGUCACACCACGAAAGCCUGUUGUACCCGAAGUUGGUGAGCUAACCCGCAAGGGAGGCAGCCAUCGAAGGUAUGGCCGGUAAUUGGGGUGAAGUCGUAACAAGGUAACCGAAGGG
rnacentral:rRNA from 1 species